rnacentral:rRNA from 1 species
GACGGAGGGGGCAAGCGUUGUUCGGAAUUAUUGGGCGUAAAGGGCUCGUAGCGGAUCCGCCAGUUUGACGUGAAAUCUCCACCGCUCACCGGGGGAGGGGCCGUUGAAUACUACGGAUCUGGAGUUCGGCAGAGGACCAUGGAAUUUCGGGUGUAGCGGUGGAAUGCGUAGAUAUCCGAAAGAACACCGGUGGCGAAGGCGGUGGUCUGG